rnacentral:misc_RNA from 1 species
UGUCGCAUCGGGCAGGGGCCUGUUUCGUGCGGAAGGUCUCAACGUGACCACCGAUGCGGCGACCGGAUCACUCGACGCGAUUGCACGCGUCGCAUCCGGCAACAGCGAUAUGGCGCUGGCGGACAUCAAUGCGCUGAUCCGUUCCCGCGACACGGAAGGCAGCCUGCCGAUCAAGGCGCUCUACAACAAGGCGCCCUACGCGAUCAUCGCGCGCAAGAGCCGCGGCAUCGCGACCAUGUC